rnacentral:misc_RNA from 1 species
GAUGAAGAACGCAGCGAAAUGCGAUAAUUAAUGUGAAUUGCAGAAUUCCGUGAAUCAUCGAGUUUUUGAACGCAUAUUGCGCCCCUUGGUAUUCCGAGGGGCAUGCCUGUCCGAGCGUCAUUGCAACCCUUCAAGCACGGCUUGUGUGUUGGACGGCCGCCCCAGUGUGGGCGGGUCCCAAAUGCAGUGGCGGCGCCGCGAUCCGGGUGCUCGAGUGCAUGGAAACCACGCGCUCGUUAGGCCCCGUCGGGCGCCGGCCGACCUAAUUAUCUUCGUUCUGGUUGACCUCGGAUCAGGUAGGAAUACCCGCUGAACUUAAGCAUAUCAAUAACGGAGGA